rnacentral:tRNA from 3 species
CGGGACGUAGCGCAGCCCGGUAGCGCACUAGCAUGGGGUGCUAGGGGUCGCUAGUUCGAAUCUAGUCGUCCCGA